rnacentral:rRNA from 1 species
GACGAACGCUGGCGGCGUGCUUAACACAUGCAAGUCGAACGGAAAGGCCCUGCUUUUGUGGGGUGCUCGAGUGGCGAACGGGUGAGUAACACGUGAGUAACCUGCCCUUGACUUUGGGAUAACUUCAGGAAACUGGGGCUAAUACCGGAUAUGAGCUCCUGCUGCAUGGUGGGGGUUGGAAAGUUUCGGCGGUUGGGGAUGGACUCGCGGCUUAUCAGCUUGUUGGUGGGGUAGUGGCUUACCAAGGCUUUGACGGGUAGCCGGCCUGAGAGGGUGACCGGCCACAUUGGGACUGAGAGACGGCCCAGACUCCUACGGGAGGCAGCAGUGGGGAAUAUUGCACAAUGGGCGGAAGCCUGAUGCAGCAACGCCGCGUGCGGGAUGACGGCCUUCGGGUUGUAAACCGCUUUCGACUGUGACGAAGCGUGAGUGACGGUAAUGGGUAAAGAAGCACCGGCUAACUACGUG